CUUCAUUCUCCUCUCCACGGUGAAACCCUAGAUCGGCCCCUCCUCGCUACCCAACCCCCGGCUCUCAUUUCCUCCUCCAAUCCCGUCUCCUUCCUCCUCCCGAAUGGCGGCGCUGCGCCGCCUCUUCUCCUCUUCCCGCACUGCCUCUCUCCGGGAUCGACUGGACGCGAAAAUCCCCGGCGGCAGGGAACAUGCACCGAGCGACGGCUGCGGUUGGAAAGCGGCGGCGGCAAGCAGCGACGGGGAUGCCUGGACGCAGCCGCAGCGAUGGCAGGGACCGCGCGCCCGAGCGAGGGCGGCUGGACGCGGCAUCGGUGAUGGCCGGCAACGACUGGGGCGGCUGGACGCUGCAGCACCAGGGAGUGCGCCCGAGCGAGGAGACGGCGACGCGCCGGUGGUGAAAGGGAGGAAGAGGCACUCACACAAGGUCUGGUGGAGGUGCUGACGCACGGUGCUCAUGUACGUGGAAGGGAGCGAAAAGGUGUGUUGUUGGAAGCUGGUCAUGAUGACUACUGCAAGUCUGGUAGAGUGGAGAAUAGUAAAAAGGCUGAAAACACCAUUGAUAAUAAUGUAGUAAUAUAAAACUUGGAGGUGCUCGCGAUCAUUUUCUGAAUCCUUGAAUGGUACAUUCAUCUCCAGGCUGCUUUGAAUGCUUUAGCUUCUCAUGUUUUUGGAUUCUCCUGCUGGAAAGGAUGAGUAUGCUCAAUGGAUUGUAGCUAGCCAGCGGAGCCUUAUUGAAGUUAUGGCCGCAUUUCCUUCAGCUAAGACUCCUUUGGGAAUUGGGAGUAUUCUUUGCAGCGGUUGCUCCUCGUCUACAUCCACGAUUCUACUCCAUAUCAUCAUCUCCAAAGAUGGCUCCCUCCAGAACUCAUGUGACAUGUGCAUUAGUUUAUGGGCCUACACCAACAGAAAGGAUCCACCGAGGAGUUUGUUCGACAUGGAUUAAGUUCUCGUUAGUUGGUUGGUGAGCCCUCAAUUGUUGGAUGUUACUACCAAAAUUGAUCCAUCCAGAGCACCACCUGCAGGAGUUUUCUUAUAUAAUGACCCACAAGUACUUCUUAGGCAGUAUGAUCUAUGAGCUGGAUGGAAAAUCUGAUAUCUGUUGAGAAGUUGUGAGAUUUCCAAGAUGAGUGACGACUUGGAUAAACGGGAUAUUUCAAUUCUUUUUACUGAGAGAGACAGAGGCUAAUAAUUUAGGACACACAUUGUCUGAAAUGAAUGUAGAACAAGCUGACUGCCGGAAUCAUGAGAGGGUGUUGUGGUACUGACUUCUCCAUUGUGGCUAGCUGGUGUCAUCUUGCCAUGGGCAGCGCCCCGCACCGCCAUGUGCUAGCCAGCAAGAGGGGAAUAUGGCAUCAGAAUGCCCUGGAUUGCCGCACUAGGCACCAACGGCGAGUCGAAUAACAGCAAGGAGCGGCUGCUGUAGCUUUGGACCGCACGGCGCUGGCGACAACAGAAGAGGGCCAGCACAUCUUUGAGAGAAGCAGACGCCAUUGAGAACAGUACUUCAGAUCAUAGGCUUGUUCUAUCUCUAAAAGGCGCUAGCCUACUCGGCCAACCAGAGCACCCAAAGGGGCAAACCUUCGUUGGUCGUCCGAUCGGUGCUGGACAGUAAAUUUUGCCUCCCGCAGCGAUUGAUCACCGUCCAUUUUACCUUUUCCUCGUUCACGUUAGCGCUGUGCUGAGAAGUCUAUGACAUUUGGGGUCUCCUUUGAGUGGGGUCGCGUGGCUGAGGCAAGAGGGCUCGUGCUGUGAGUCUGUCAUUUCUCUUGGCUAAGGUGAAAACCUAGACACCACGAUUGGCUCCGCUUCCUCCUGUCCUCCCCAAUCCGCCGCAUUCUCUCCUCCUCCCAUUUUGCCCAACUCAGGUCGCCCAGGAGGUGAAGAGGAGGCAGGUUGGACCGCGCAUCGACCUCGCCGCUCCUCUUCCGAGCGUUGGAGAAGCAUGGUCGGGAGGCAGCGCGGGCGCCACCGCCUCGUGCCUCGCUCGGGCCGCUUCGUAGAGCGCCAGGAGGCCAUGGUAGCCGCCGGUCGCGGGCAUCAGGCCGUGGCCGCGUCAGCCGCCGCCCCAGCGGUCUUCUCUCUCUACCCACAGGGUGGUCGCCCUCUCUGGUGCGUCGGAGCGCCGGAUCGGGCGAUGUGAAUCAGUGGUGAGCCAAGCUGCAUGGAGCAGCCAUUGGUGGAGAGGACGCCACGCCGACGAGCAGUGGUGGUCACCCAGAUCCCAGCAAAGCAUGGGGACGGGUGUCCUCUACCAGACCUGGGCUUCCUUGUCAACGAUCACCAUCUACAGCAGCUCCGCAGCCUUGCAGUGUACUGCUUGCUGAAAAAUUGUCAAUGAAUCAAGUCGUGGGGAAAAAGUGAAAGGCAAAGCGAGUUAUGUCAAUAAUGUGUGAUUGUUCUGAAAGUGAGCAGACAUACGGCGGUACUCUAGCCAUAGAGUGAGAUGGAAAAUUAAGUCCAUGUCCAGGAUGGUGCGGGCUGGAGCGGUGGAGGUUCGGCGUCUUCGCCUCACUGCCGUGCAUAGAGCUGCUGCUACUGCUAUGCCUUUCUUCUCAAUGUCUCUUGGGUUGUUUCUUGCUGCUGCUGCUGGCACUUGGCUGAGGUGGAGUUCGCCUUGCUUCUCUGCAGCAUUAUCUCGUGCUUCGUUUCCUUCUUACUCUUAAUUAUUUUUGUAGAAUCUUCUAUUUUCCUUACUGCGAGUCUACGUGGCUCCUACACUUCUUCCACGUUCAUUUAUGCUUGUACGAUCUGGUUGGUCUUAUUUCACAUGCGUUAUUCAUGCUUUCUUUCUUUGUGCUUCGAAUGGCUGCCUACUAAUUCUACUUUGGUGUUAUGUUUGUUUCGCUUCGAAUAUUGAUCGUUUUGCAGUUCUAUGUGUAUGUGCAGUGCAGCUUCUUUGGAAGGUUCCUUACUGCCUCUCUGGCCCUCCUAGGAUAGGUGCGUCCCUUACGCUUUCUUGUGUAUAUGCGCUGAAUGAUCUGUGGAGUAGGUGCUAAGCCUCACAUGAUAUAUGGACUUUUUCUCUCUAUCUUGUGAAUGCAUGACACUAUGGUCCGUUUGUUUGUGCUUCUUUCUCAUAUGUGUAUAUGUUAUAAGGUUGCUAUGGGUCUAAGAGUGGGGAUGAUUGCUUUUGCAAAUCCAUGAGCCGGCCGGCUAUCUGUUUCAGAGUAAAAUCUGAUUAAAAAUGCCUUGUGUUAUGACCUGAAUUCCUGUAUGUUGAUAUGUUUUAGAAUCUUACUGUACACCCUACUCGAAAAUCAUCUCUUGCUUUUGAACCCCAAAAGGUUAAAAUUUGUACCGGUGCAUCUACUCCCUUGCUAAUAUGCAAUCCAACAAUUGUUUCAUAUAUGAAGCAAGGGGCUAAUAGUUUUUCCUGUUUUGUUAGACGGUGAACAGCAGAUUCUUAAUUGCUUAUCGAUGCCUGCUCAUAGAUUAAUGUUUUUUUCUGGGGUUCAGAGAUAUUUGGAUAGCUGCUACUAUCUAGAGGUUUAAUAGGCCAGAAUCUGGAAGCUCCACGUUGCCAGUUUGAUCUAACCAAUAUAUUUUCAGACUUGAUAUAACUAAAAAAAUGCCCAUUUGGUGCAAGUUGACCGAGUUAAAUUAUUAGUUGUCCCUUUGAUAUCCCCAAAAAAUGCUCAUUUAGAGGUUUGGAGUUUAUUUAUCAAGCACUUGGAUUGUUACUUCUAUGAUGUUUUCUUCCUUGCACUUGCUUUCGUUGCUUGGUUUGGAAAAAAAGGUAGAUAUCUCUGGAACCCUUGUUUCUCUUUAAUGAGUUUAAUGGCCAAUCGUUGUUACUCCUCUGUUGUUUGGUUCCUUGCACUUACUUCUGUUUAGCUGGUUGGUUCUUGCUUUUGGAAUAAUACAUGGUUCUUACAAAAACCUUGUUUCAGCUUUAGCAAGUUCGGACCCAUGGAUACAGUUUUAAUUAACAAUUUGUUCCUUGUUUUCGCCUACGCUCUCCAUAUGUGGCCUACCGUUACAUUCUUGAUGUUCGUUUCUUCCUCUACUUUGUUUUUCUUUGGUGUCCGAUUUUGGUGGAGUAAAGGUUUGCGGGCCAAGCAUUAUUUCUACGCAGUUUUCUUGCUUUUCCUUGCUUCUGUUGUAUUUCUUCUUGCUAUUGAAAAGAUGUAAAUCGGUGAAAGAUGAUUAUUUAUCUUGGAUAAGUUUGCGCUCAUGGAAAAAGGUUUGUUGGACACCCACUGUUUGUUUUUAUGGAGUUUUCUUCUUCUAUUUGUUCUUAUUUAUUUACUUCUUAGUUUCGAGUAGAUCAAAAAUUGUCGGUACUUCUCUUAUCUUUGGUGAGUUGGUAUCCAAUUGUGUGGCCAUGAAAGAAAUGUGUUCUGCUCAAGCAUUGAAAAGCUUGUCGCGGUCACCGAGAGCUCGCCUGGGAGCCGUCGUGAGCACUGUCUCCUGGGAGCCGCCAUGAAUCUUGUAGACGACGUCCAGACCUCGAUUGUAGAACAUGGGUCGCCAUGAAGGAAUUAAACGAUGCGGUACAACAACUUCAGCAGGGGACAGUGAAGACCAUGGGAGGGGCUUGGGGAACGAUGGGCAGCGGCAUGCAGAGCUGAUGCCAGUGCACCACCGGGAGCUUCUGACAGAACUCGAUCGCAUGUUACUGUUAACAUAGAAAAAACAUAGGAAUCUCAAUGUCCGGAGGAAGCUAAGCUUCAUCGCCACCGCCCCUUGCUUCCUUACGUCUUUCACCACCGGUGUCCAACGUGAUGUUCACCGGCAGACCAGGCUCAAAGAUGGAGUUAGAGUUGAAGUGAGGUUUCUCCAGUGUGAUUUGUCAGGUUGGCUACCGCCUCGUGAAUUUGUACAUGAUGAGACGGUCUGGUUGUAAUGUAUGCCAUAAAUAUGACUCUGUCAUGCAAUAAAUUUAAGUUUCAAUCAGAUACUUGCGUGAGUGGAGCAGUGGGCCGAGAGAUUCAGCCAUUUCGUAAGAGCUUCGACCUGAUUAUGCAAUGUUGUCUCCCGCAGGGCAAUGUUCGCAAAAUUUCCAUAGAAUGUACAUGUGAAGUCCACCACUUUGAUUCUGUAAUAUACAAUGAUGGUUACAAUUGACGG